rnacentral:rRNA from 1 species
GACGAACGCUGGCGGCGUGCUUAACACAUGCAAGUCGAACGGAAAGGCCCUGCUUUUGUGGGGUGCUCGAGUGGCGAACGGGUGAGUAACACGUGAGUAACCUGCCCUUGACUUUGGGAUAACUUCAGGAAACUGGGGCUAAUACCGGAUAGGAGCUCCUGCUGCAUGGUGGGGGUGGGAAAGUUUCGGCGGUUGGGGAUGGACUCGCGGCUUAUCAGCUUGUUGGUGGGGUAGUGGCUUACCAAGGCUUUGACGGGUAGCCGGCCUGAGAGGGUGACCGGCCACAUUGGGACUGAGAUACGGCCCAGACUCCUACGGGAGGCAGCAGUGGGGAAUAUUGCACAAUGGGCGGAAGCCUGAUGCAGCGACGCCGCGUGCGGGAUGACGGCCUUCGGGUUGUAAACCGCUUUCGCCUGUGACGAAGCGUGAGUGACGGUAAUGGGUAAAGAAGCACCGGCUAACUACGUG